CUUAAGAAGGGCUGCUCUACGGCCCUCGUGUGGAUCAAGAGAAACAAGCGAAGGGCUUCAUUUAUUCUGACCCGUCUUGGAGACAGAAAGUACCUCCUCUUACCACCUGUGUAUCCCCCAUUUCCCCUUUGUCAGGCAGUUAAGCAGCCUGCUUUUCUUGGGGGUGAGGGGUCACCUCAACCUCAAUUUUGAGGUUUCAGUGGGGAACUCCUACCCCCUCCUUCCCCACUCCUCUGUGAGGCUCAGUGGUCAGCACCACUGUCCAGGUCAGAGUUUGGCUCUGGGAAAGCCGAUGCCUGGAGUGUGCUGGGGCCACUACGAGGGAGGCUGCUGUUAGCCAAGCCGGCGGCUAAGCUGCGGAGUGUGACCUGGGAUGCGAACCAUGUGGCCCUCAGGGGCUGCCAUGUGAUGGGAAUCCAGGGGUGACUGGUUUCAGUCAUUAUUAAGUUCCUUAGUAUCUCUGACUAGCUCAUUUGUGCUAGGGUUUUGCCCCUUGCCACCAAGAGUUUCCUAAUUCAGUGCUAUUUCAACCACAGUCGCUUUGGGGACUGAGUCAUGUGACUGAAAUAUACCUCUCGCAGCUUCCUCUCAUUGAUGCUAUGCUCUUGGAACCAACAGAAAAAAUCUCUCCCCUCAGACCCAUGGCUCCUGUCAGUUUCUCUCUCCCUCUUCUCCAGGCAACCCCUGCCAGUUCCUUUAGGCUCUGCUGGUGUCUACUCAAAGAACACACAAAGUCAACGAUCAGGUGUCAAUUUACGUCCUGAGAAGGGUAUGGGGUUCCUUUCUUGAGUUGAUUUCUUCCCUUUGGGAUAAAGACUAGUUGAAGCUCCUCAGUAUUCACUUAAAUUAAAAAAGGCCCCGAGCAAGCAGGGCCACAUGAACCACUCAAAGGGCUGUUCCUACCUGCAAGUCAUAGCAGCGCGACCCAAGUCAUUUACUAUUCACUUACGUGUAAGUUUGCAGAUAACGUACUUUAAUCUUUUCUUAAGUUACAGGAAACUGUUUUUCCAGUGUUCUCUUGAAUAAGAUUGCUCUUGCCCACUUCUCACUGGCCUUCUGCUCUGCUUUUAAGAGGGGAAGGAAGGCGAGGGUGUGCCAGGGCGCUGACCAACGCAUCAUUAGUGCCACGACAGAACAAGCAUAGGGACCACUGGACUGGACGAGAAGCCCCUGGAGGACAGGAUUGGGUCUUAUCUGCCCUCGUGUUUGCAGAGCCUGGUUCAGAGCCUGGCAAGGUAGGUGCUCAAUAUAUGAGUCACGAAUGAAUGAUGAACAAACGGAUGAAUGACGAGUGUACAUUCUUGGGGCAACAAGGAGGGUAACCUGACAAGGGUAUGGGCACCUUGGGUCACGUGAGAAGGUGGCAGUAGACGAUACUGUGGAGUCACAGAAUGAAGAGCCCUGUGUGUCAGGCAAGAGCGUUGGUCAGGAUGAGCCUGUACGGGGGCAGGAGAACUGAGCCGCGGCAUUAAGACCCCAGAACCCUAACCCCAGUUCUACCACUAACUCAGUCUGUCACUUCCCCCCUCAAAGGCUUCAGUUCCCUCUCAGAUAAGAUGAGUCAAUCAGAACGUGAUCUAAGAAUUGAUCACAUCUAGAAUUGAGAUCUAAGACUUCCAAGCAUCUAGUAGGACACAGGGCACCAUCGGCGGCAUCACAUCAGCCUGUGCGCCAGGGUUCCCUGUACACUAUCUGGAACAUGAUGCCCCAUUGCUUUGUGUGUUCAUCUUCCUCCUCCAGCCUGACCAUUCUCCAAGUGAAAGACUAUCAUAUUGUUUAUGUACCUCUAUGACAGCUUAGCCUAUCAAUAAAUUGAGGAUUAUAAACUGGCAGCCUAUGGACUCCAUCCAGCCUGUAGAAGUAUUUAGUUUGGCUGUUUUCACAAAGGAUGUUGCUGGCAGCAUAAUGACAUCCCAAAGACGUUCACAUCCUAAUGCCUAGAAUCUGUAACCUAACAACUUACGUGGCAAAGGGGAUUUCGCAGAUGUGAUUAAUUUUUUUAAAUAGCAAGAUUAUCCUGGAUUAUUUGGGUGGUCCCAAUGUAAUCACAAGGCAUAGAAAAUGGAAGGGGAAGACAGAAUCAGAACCAGAGAGAUGGCCUCAUGAGAGACUCGAUCGUCCAUCACUGGCUUUGAAGAUGGAGGAAGGGGCCAUGGGCCAAGGAAUACAGGUGGCCCCUAGAAACUGAAAACAAAUUCUCUCCUAGAGGCUCCACAAGGGACACAGCCCUGAUAACAUGCAGAUUUUAGCUCAGCGAGACCCAUUUCAGACUUCUGACCUUUAGAUAAUAAAUCUAUAUUGUUUUAAGCCACUAAGUCUGUAGCAGUUUGUUAUAGAAAACCAACACAGGAGAAAAAUUUGAAAGCCUUAGGCAAGGCAGACACCCCCUCCCCAGUCAGGCCUAUUACUUCUGAUUGUUCACCACUAGGCUUAAUUUGCUUGUUUCUGCUACAUGUGUGGCCCCUGCUUGAGCGGCUCUCAUCAUUCAAGUUACUAAUUGAAGAGUAAGAACACAUGUCUGGAUAUCAGAAGAUUGUGGGUCCUCAAUUCUUCCAAUCACCAGCGAGAGGACUGUGGACUGGUCGUUUGACCUCAUUUGGUCCCCCUUUCCUUGUCAACAGAAUCAAGGGGUGGUACUAGACCAUCUCCAAGGACUCAUACUCUAGUGGAUCGUGGUUCUAUCGCUGAUUAGUGAUGGUUCGCUACCCUAUCACCAGCAUGUCAUUUGGGUUUCGAUGCUGCAGUGACUACUGCUGUCCUGGUGAUGGGGAUACGAGUGGUUCCCAGCAUCUUCUCUGGCCACUCUGGGUGGUGGCAGUCACAGAUGUUCACUGAGUGUCUGCCCCAGCAGCACCUGCACAGCCUGGGAAAAACAAGGACUCAGACCCCGAUCCCUGAACUUGUUGUGUGGAUGUAGUGACCGAAGAGGCCAAUGACCAUAUCUAAAUUCUCUGUAGCACCAGAGGCAUUACAUUGGUUAAAGGCAAUUAAAUAAUUGAGCAAUCUAUCAUUAACAAAUUCCGUCUGUUGUUCUAUACACAGGCAAGGAAUGGAAGCUCUUCCACUGUCUGCCCCUUGGCUUUCCUAUCUCCCCUAUUCCCUGACAUCCCAAGGUAUGGACAUUGAUCCUAUACCUUGGUCUUCACUGCUGUGUGAUCCUAUACUUGUCGUUAUUGCUUCUCUUCCUUCCUAGUAGAAAGAGCAGUAUGUAUUAAAGAGGAGCAAUGGGUUUUUUUCUCCACUGGACUUAGACCAGGGAAGGAAGGUUGAGAGAGAGACGCAGAACACAGAAUACUCUAGGUGGUGGGAAAUGUGGGUAAGAAUGUCCCCAACCUCAGUUCAAAGCAUCGACGUGACAUUUUCCCACUUGGAGGGAAUUUCUACCUUAGGCGGCUUGAUCAGCUGUGCUGGGGGUGGGGCUUGAAUUUCUUGCUAAGUAAGAGUCUUUCCCAGUAAAGGUUUCUUAUUUUUUAACGGCCUUGAUUUUUUGAUAGGUAAAAUCCUAUCUUAUAAAAAGGGAAAAUGUCCCUUACUGUCAUUUACAGGCAGUAAAAUGAGUGAGAUUCUAGUUCAGUGGCCAUCACCCCUUCAGGAUGCAGCUCCCCAGCCCAUUCUGAAGGGCUACCAGAUUUCCUGCCAAGAGUAGAUUGUGAAGAAUAGGAAAUUCCAGGUUUCUAGAGGUACAACUCACAGCAUCCAUGGAAAAGACAAUUUCAUCUUCUUACCCUGGGACCCUACAUGCUUAUAUACUGAGAAGGGAAUCUACAGAGAAAAUCUACAAGAGAGAAGAGGCGUUCAUAGCCCCAAGCUUUUUUCAUCACUGCUGCAGUAGGGGGUGACUCUCCUGUCUGUGAACGGAUUGUAAAAUAGACAUCAUUGGCUUUAUGGUUUCUGAUUUGAAUUCAUUUCUGAAUGAAGCCCACAUUCCACUAUACCAGGAGGAAAUGUAACCUUAGGGCUCCUUCUCUAACCUGUGAUGUGCCUUCAUUCUGGAUUCCAGCAAAAUCUAGAGUGGGAGUGAGACACCUACUGUCCAGGCCCACCUGGGGCCACGGUCUGGUGGUCUCUGCCGCUUGUGUCCCACGCUUGCGGCACAGAAUUUUUUGACAAGGGUGCCCGUGGCCCUUUUGCCUAAAUACACCCCUCUGGAGUCCUGCUGCCCCCAAGGUAUUUCCCAGGGCUUUGUUCCUGCAGUGCCUGGACCCACCGUCCUCUCUUCUCUCACUCCCACUCCGAGAGAGUAGCCUUUCUCCAGUGUGACAGUGAAUCUCUAAGCUAACCGACUCCAAGAUAUCCUCUUCGUAUCAGCAAAUCCUCUUCUCCCUCUUAACUCUUCUCAGACCCCCCGGAAUCAGACUUUUGGCAAACAAAA